CUGACUGCCUGUGUGUGUUUGUGACUGUGUGUAUGACUGUCUGCCUGCGUUUGUGUGUGUCUGUCUGUGACUACCUGUGUGUCUGUGACUGCCUGUGUGCGUUUCUGUGACUGUCUGCCUGUGUGUGCGUGUCUGUGUAUAUGACUGUGUAUAUGACUGUGUGCCUGUGUGUGUGUGUAUGACUGCCUGUGUGUGUGUAUG